rnacentral:rRNA from 1 species
UACGUAGGGUGCGAGCGUUAAUCGGAAUUACUGGGCGUAAAGCGUGCGUAGGCGGUUCGCUGUGUCCGAUGUGAAAGCCCCGGGCUUAACCUGGGAAUGGCAUUGGAAACUGGCGGGCUUGAGUGCGGCAGAGGGGGGUGGAAUUCCGCGGUGUAGCAGUGAAAUGCGUAGAGAUGCGGAGGAACACCGAUGGCGAAGGCAGCCCCCUGGGUCGACACCGACGCUCAGGCACGAAAGCGUGGGGAGCAAACAGG